UUUUUGAGUAUAUCUCGAAAACUGAGGGUGUUAAAAAAAAUUGAUAUGAAAUAACGAUGAUUAAAUUAUGUGACUUUUAUUAUAUCUCAAAAAAUUUUUUUUUCUAAAGCUUCUCGACAAUUUUCGUGGACUCGGAAAAAGUUACGCGUAUCUGUAUACAAAAGUAUUAUUAACAUGUACAGUUUCAUGUAUGUAUAUUAUUCAAUAGCCUGUUGAUCCUCAAAUUGUUUUUUGGACGUACCUAGCGUUGGUUGUAUCUAUCGCUUUAUUGUCAUUCUUAAAUUCCCCGUUUUAUCAAGGAGAAAGAAAGGAAAAAAAAGAAACCAAAAAAUCUUUUUCGGUCAGAUUAAGAGAACCCACCAACAUAUUUGUCAGAUUAAAAAAAUAUGCUUUCAGGAUACCGAGAUAAACCUCCCCUAUGAAAAUCUGACGCGCUCGAGUAUUUCAAAAAAACUUUUUUUUUUGCAUUUUCAAAAAUUCA